GCCCUGUGAUUUUUUUAACGGCCGCGGUAUCCUGACCGUGCGAAGGUAGCGUAAUCAUUUGUCCUUUAAUUGAAGACCCGUAUGAAUGGCAUCACGAGAGUUUAUCUGUCUCUAUUUUCUAAUCAAUGAAAUUGGCUUCCUCGUGCAGAGACGAGAAUAGUAACAUAAGACGAGAAGACCCUAUGGAGCUUUAAACACCUAAGUUAAUUAUUUUUCCAACAUCUCCUCCACGGAUAUAAAACAACAUAAAUAAAUAUAACUUAACUUGUUUUUGGUUGGGGCGACCAAGGGGAAAAACAAAACCCCCUUAUCGACUGAGUAUUCAAGGUACUUAAAAAUUAAAACGAACAAUUCUAAUUAAUAGAACAUCUAUCGAACAAUGACCCAGGAUAAACAUCCUGAUCAAUGAACCAAGUUACCCUAGGGAUAACAGCGCAAUCCUUUCUUAGAGUCCCUAUCGCCGAAAGGGUUUACGACCUCGAUGUUGGAUCAGGACAUCCUAAUGGUGUAGCCGCUAUUAAGGGUUCGUUUGUUCAACGAUUAACAGUCCUACGUGAUCUGAG
rnacentral:rRNA from 1 species